rnacentral:misc_RNA from 1 species
GCGCCAAACAAACUCUUCAAUACCCAAAUCCUAUUCGGGAUCUUCUCUAAAUUCACAAAACUAAAAACCCUAGAAUUUCUUAUUUUUCUCGAUAGCCAAAUCCUAUUUGGGAUCUUGUCUAAAUUCACAAAACUAAAACCCUAGAAUUUCUAAUUUUUCUGAUUUCCAGGCAUGGGUAACACGGAGAAACUUUUGAAUCAGAUCAUGGACCUCAAGUUCACCUCGAAAUCGCUGCAAA